ACAUUUAGAAAUUCUUGGAGUUAUCUGGUGUUUUGCAUCACUUUCUUAUUCGUUUGGUCUUUAGGAUCUUAUAAUGAAUUUCCCCUUUGUUAUUUCCUUAAUUGUUAUGACUGGAGUCCCUCGGAUGAUUUAGGUGUAUGUGGGGAGUGCACACUAGCCUGGGAGUUAUAAGGAAGGCGAGACUUGGGGAGAUGUUGUUUCGUUGGUCCCCUUACUUGCUCUGGAUCCCCAAGUCCAAACCUAUAUCUCAACUGUACUGGCCAACUAACCUCUUGCUGCUUUAUUUGUACACUUGGGCUAUGUUGGUUAUAUUGGGUUGGGACUGGUUAUACUGGAUAAAUAGCUGGCAGCUGGUGAUUUACUUCAGGAAUCGUACCUAUGUGGAUAAUACGAUGAUGUAUCUGGAUCUCGAUUUCCUGUUUCGUCUGGGAGCCAAGAACUAUUUACAUCAACAUAAAUAGUUUCAUCCGCGGACUCACAAGUCCGGGUUCUUUGCGGAAUCAACGUUGUCGGGAAAUUCAAAGGUAACCGACAUUCAGAACAUAGAGCAAUGACUGGAAACGUCCCUUAGACGCCUUAGAUUGAGAAAGUUAAAAGAGAUUUGAAUGACCCACGUCUCCUGCCAAUUGCUGAAGCUAAAUGUACAUCAAAUGCCAGCGGAGCUGCCUUUUAUAGUUCAGAAGUUUUGAUUGCAAGUCUUUGAGACAUAUUAUUGUUUUGAAUUUGCAAAAAUCUGAAACAAAAGUUAUCAAAUGAUGAUUAUGGUAUGGUUUUGCAGUUUUUUUCCCAA